CUGGGGGUAUAGCCAAGAUGGCAGAGUAAUCCUCAGCAGCUCUAUACCAACAUGAGAAUCUUUCCCAACCAAAAUUAAAAUAUUGCCACAAAAUUAAUAUAGGAGUGAAAGAACCAACAAGAAGGCAGAGUGAAACAACUUUCAAGAAAAAAAAAACAAAGAUCUCCAAGCACUUACAAGGGAAAGAUUGCAUUACUACGAAUGAAUGUGAAACAGAGUUGCCUAAAGCAUUUCAACAGGUAUGAAGAGGAACAGCCAAGUGGUUAAGUGGCUGGCUAUAGACAUGCCAGUACAUGUCAAGCCACAAAAACUCCGGAGAAGGGAGAGAGAAAAGCUCACUUCAAGCAAGAGAGUCACUUACUGUGUCCCUUCCCAAAGAUAGUUUUUGCUAUCCUCCUGAUACUCUUAUUGGACCUCAAUCUGGGUUUUGACUUUUGGACAUGCCAC
rnacentral:lncRNA from 1 species